CGCCACCUUUGUCAGCCUUCACCAGUAGCAAUCUCAUGAUCAAACUCUAGACUACACAACUCGGUCACUCAGAGACUUUCAUCGAACGCCUCAUGGGCACGAAGAACAUAUGACUCAAUUUUUGCGAUGCGAAGAACUUAUCGCCUUUUGUCAGUUUUUCUCUCCUCUUAUUGAAUAGCAGUUACAACGUGAGACAUGGACAGUGGCGAGUUGUAUCCUAAAUGCCCCAGGAGAGGCACACAACGAAGAAAGAGGAAACAAAACAGCAAACAGCUAGAAUGACAUCUAAAUUAAGCUAAGUUGAAGAACAGGAUUACCAUCAACAACCUUGGGUAUUGCGACUAUCUUUUUAGACAAUCGAAGCCUUGUUGCUAAACCUGCAAUCCUGAUGUCUCUUAUGCCCAAUUCCAAUUUGUUAAGUACCCCACACAUGCACCCACUGUCUGACUUUCUGAUCAACUAAAUUUUCUGAUCUUGAGAGUCGAAUGAUUUGCACCUUCUGUUUCAUGUCCAAUUCUAAACCUUCCUUCUUGCCAUUUCAAAGCUGCCCUGCUCUCCAUUCUCUCAAAUGUGAUGCAAGAACUGCAUGUGUGUGGAAGGAUGAAUGAUUGCCGUUCAAAAAUUUUUGAAGAGAUAUAAUAUCUUUGCAAUUGCUAGCCAAGAUCAAAGAGGAGGGUAGAGCAUGGGUUAAAGCCGGAGCGACAAGGCUCUAGGAGUUUGGAAUUUUGGGAGAUACCACCUAAUGAUCUGUUUCUAUGGGUCGGUCGUCUUUUUAGACUGACCCUGUAUAUACUUUUGUAUAAUUUUUUCACUCUCUAUUAAUAUACGGGGCAAAGCUUUGCCCCUCCUUAAAAAAAAGCAUUUGUAAUUCUUUCUUCUCAUAGAACGACACUCAAAGCUUUCGCCUGUUCCACCGAACAAGUUUCUCAUGUAACAAGUUUUUCAAUGAACACAAACUUGCUCCUUUUAUGGUAAAAAAGACAUGCUCGGUGUAAAUGUGAAGACGUAGGAUUAUAUAUGUAGAUAUACAUACUGUACUUCAGUAACACAUAUAUAUCGAAUGACCAUUCUAUGAUUUCUUCUUCCUGAGUACAAAAAUGACUCUCAGAUUCGUUUUGAGCUUAAACAUUCCAAUCCUUGCCAGCUGAAACUGCUUUAAUUAGAUGUGGGACACUCCGACACUAGACAGUUCUUUCUCAGUUUACCGAUGAUCAUCUGCACUCUCCUAGUCCACUAGAUUGAUUUCAGCAACCGAACAUGUCCGUGGAAGUGUGCAGCAACGAGAAAGUUUGCUACUGCAGGGAAGAAGUGAACAUCCCAGUGCAACUGGACAAUCACUAAUUUGGUCAUUCUUUGCAGGAGAAUUUUGUUUUCGAGAAGAGAUCAACUUCUUCCUUUCACAGAGCAUUGACUUGAGCCAAUGUUCAGUCAUCCUGAUGACUACCAUUCCUUUCUUAUUCAUCUACAAGUUGGAAGUUUAGAAGAGAACACAGUCAUCAAAAUAAUGCAUCUGACAUCUCAACCCUUCCUGCAUAUAUGCAUCUCUCUUUAACUCUAGAUGCUGUUAUAUAGAGAGAAGCUAGGUAGGCUAGGGUAGUUCUCAACAGGAGUGAGGCCAUCAAUCAGUGUGGGAUGAGAAAAUUGCAAUUAUAGGACUCCAAACAAUGCGCUUCGCAGUUAUAGGACUCUAAUCGUCGACUUCGCUAAAACGACCCUUGAAACAUUAGCACUUUAUUUUACAUGACAUUUGGUCCUUUUAAUUACUUUUCUCAACUAAAAUACAUGUAUUUUGCCCUAAAGUGACCGUAUUGCCAUUCUGCCUUCUGUAUACUUGAUUGAUCGUAUCUUUUCAUCUCGUCCGAGUCCGCCGUCGUCGUUUCUCCUUCCCUCCCCACACCCUCGGCUCCCAUGGAUGGAGUGCCGCCGCCCGAAGAUGGAGAUGGACGCCCGAUCGCCAUGGAAGGCCAAGCAGCUGAAGACCUAGCGGCUUCUGCCCUAGCCGCUCGGGGUCUAGUCACGCCGCCUGGUGGCCUGGGCUUUGAUGCCUUGGCAGUGGCAGCCGAUGGCCAUGUACAGCAGAAUGCCAACGCUAGUGCUCUAGUCACUGCUAGAACAUUGCUGCCCAAUGCUCCUCUUCCGGCAGCAAUGGAGAUCAACCUUCCUGUUCUUCAAGUGCAAAGGUAUUGGCUGCACUAGUUUUCUGUUUUUUUUUACCACGAUAGUAGUACACAGUAGUAAAACUUGAUUUCACUUGUUUAGGUCCCAAGUAGAUCAUGUGGAAAAUAUGGAAAGAGUUGAUUGGGAUAACAUACACAUAGUCGAGACACAUGAUGACGAAGGUCGUAUUGCACUUAUGAGUGAAUCGCAGAUUUGUGAGCUUUUAGGCGUGAUAGAGGAGGACACAACAAAUAUACCUGCACAGGGCUUUGGUUGCCGAAUGUAUGAACAGGGGCAUGAUAGUGAGCUUGGGCAAAAUAAUGAUGGUGCUGCCAUUCCUACUAGUGAUGAGGUACCGGGUGAGAUGGUCAUUUCAUAUGAUAAGAACAACCCAUCCAUGGCUUUAGGAACAAUGUACCCAACAAUGGAGGAGUUCAAUUUGGCAGUGCGGCAAUUUGCCAUUAAGGAGGAAUUUGAUUUAGGAGUAGAGAAGUCGUGUAAGACGAGAUAUAGGGCUUAUUGCAAGUCCGGUGAUGAAGAUUGCCCUUGCACUUGGAGGAUAAAUGGCACCAAACAAAAAGGCCAAAGCACUGUGGAGGUAAAUAAAUUUAUGUUUUCUUUCAUUAAUUCUACUUUUUAUGUAAAUUAACAUGAAUCUCUUUGAUUUUUUUGUUUUGCAGAUAACUGUCAUAGUCGAUAAGCAUACAUGUGUGUCUAGCAUGAGGCAGAUAACUACAACUCCAACUCUGAAGUGGGUAGCUAGCAAGGCUGUGAGUAUCCUUAGAGAUGAUCCAAAUAUUGGCGCUAAGAGAUUGCAAAACAGGUUGCAGACAGAUCACAAGUGUGAAAUUUCAUAUGACACUGUAUGGCAGGGUAAAGAAAGAGCUCUUGAAGAGGUUUAUGGCAAAUGGGAAGAGAGUUUUGAGUUGUUGUUUAGGUGGAAGGCCGAGGUAAUGAAGCAGUGCCCCGGGAGUGUCGUUGAGAUUGAGGUACUUGAGGUGGAUGGUCAAGUAUAUUUCCACCGUUUUUUCUGUGCUCUUAAACCAUGCAUUGAUGGUUUCUUAGAAGGUUGUAGGCCUCAUUUGAGCAUAGAUGCUACUCCACUUAAUGGAGGGUGGAAUGGUCACUUGGCUGCAGCUGUAGCAGUUGAUGGUCACAAUUGGAUGUAUCCACUCGCUUAUGGCUUCAUAGCUUCUGAAACAACAGAUAACUGGACUUGGUUCAUGGAACAAUUAAAGAAGGCAAUAGGUGAUCCUCCACUCCUUGCUGUUUGUUCUGAUGCUUUCAAGGGCUUGGAGAAUGCAGUGAAGAAUGUAUUUCGAAAUGCAGAGCAAAGAGAAUGCUUUUAUCAUCUUGUGAAAAAUUUCACGAAGAGAUAUAGAGGGUUUGGCCAGAUAUAUCCUGCGGCAAGGGCUUACAGAGAAGACAUAUUCUAUGAUAAUAUAGCAAAAAUGGUAAGUGAAUCAGCAGAUGCAGUGAAAUGGUUACAUAACAAUCAUAAGCUAUUAUGGUAUAGGUGUGCUUUCAAUCCAGAAAUUAAGUGUGACUACAUAACUAGUAAUAUUGCUGAGUCAUUUAAUAACUGGAUUAGAGACCACAAAGACUUACCUGUUGCUGACCUUGCUGAUAAGAUUAGAGAAAUGAUCAUGGUACUUUGGAACAAGAGAAGAAAUAUUGCAUACAGGCUACCUGAAGGCAGGAUACUUCCAACUAUAAUGCAUCAGCUGAAGGCAAAUACUAGAGGCUUGGGACAUUUGAAAAUUGUACCAUGUUCUAAUUGGAGUGCAGAGGUGUGGGACAAGAGCAGCGACGUUGAGAGGCAUAUUGUCAAGUUACACCAAAGGACCAGUACAUGUCUUGAAUGGCAGCACACUGGUAAGCCAUGUCAACAUGUAUUGGCCUAUGUAACCCGCCAACUAUUACUCGGUGAAUAGAUUCAGGGCUGCUUAUGGAAGAGAGAUUGAGCCGAUGACAGACAAAACUCAAUGGCCACAAGUUGACCUACCAUUUUUAGUUGGUGCGCCUCUUGCUAAAUUACCUGUUGGAAGACGAAGGAAACUAAGAAGGAAGGGAUGGAUGGAAGGUGGCCACAAGAAAAAUGGUUCCAAAGAUGGUCCAUUUACCAACGAGGGUGAAGGUGAGAAGGGAGGUGACAACGAUAUUGCUCCAACAAAUGGAAAGGGACAGAAGAUGAUCAGAGGACCUAUGACUUGCAAAAAAUGCGGAGAGAAAGGCCACAGGCAAGCUAGUGCCAAGUGCCCACUCAAUGGGACAGCAAAAAAGAGGAAGCGUAGGCAACCUAGGAAGAAUGUUACAAAAGCUGCAGCAGCAGAACCUAGCACCCCAUGGAGGCCGACUAGAGAAGAAAUCCUACGGGAUAGUCCAGGAAGGGUCACUAGAAGCAAGCUUGCGAUGUUACUACGAGAGGGUACAUCUUCACAAACCGACACCACUAGUCCCAUGAGGAUGCCUACCGCGGCAGCACCAAAAAAGAUGACUCCAAAGAGAAAGCUACACAUUGGUUGAAUAAUUUUAGUUGUGAUGAGAUGUAAACUCAUACUUUAUUUUAUAUGACUUGGAUCUCGUUUGGAACUAAAUUAUGGUAUUCUGAGAUGAACUUGUUUAUGCUAGAAUCUCGGUUUUAUGAGACAAGCUUGUUUGUGCAAAAUUCAUGGUUUUGUCUAUUACUUGUAAUUGAGAUCUCCUUAUAAUUGCGUAUAGAUCAUCUUUGAUCAUCUUUCAUUUAUUCAUUGGGUUAGUGCUGCAAUUUUUGUGCAUGAUUGACCAUGUACAGUACAAUAUUUGGGGCAUAUGCAGCCGGCAGCUAGAAGCUGCAGCAAGUUCAGGAGCGGCUAGCAGCUUACCAGCCAUCCCAGGCGAGCCAGUGCUCUAGCCAUGGACAGGCGCCGGCCGGCCAGCCAUCCCAGGCUAGCCAAGCGACCAGCUAGCAGCGUGGGAGCACGUCAAUUGAAGCCCUGAGGGCAAUACAGUCACAUCAAGGUAAAAUACAUGUAUUUUAGUUGAGAAAAGUGAUUAAAAGGACCAAAUGUCAUGUAAAACAGAGUGCCAACGUUUCAAGUUUCGUUUUAGCAAAGUCGACGAUUGGAGUCCUAUAACUGCGAAGCGCAUUGUUUGGAGUCCUAUAAUUGCAAUUUUCUCGUGUGGGAUUUGUUACAAUCGUAGCAUUGGAAUGCUAAACCCCAUGGGAACAAAACCCUGUCAGAACAUACCAUUAAGUUCAGUUGUUGCUAGAACCAGCAGAAAAUUUGAAGUAAUUAACUAGAGGCAAUGAAAUAAUUGAGCUUGGCUUUGCAUAAAUUCCAUGCUUAUCACAACUGGUUGCCGCUUUGACUAAUUUCAAGAGCUGUAUAGUCCAUCAACCAAGGAUUAUUUUUUGAGAAAGGCAAUAUGUGUUGUCCGUAUU